UUUCAUUUGGGAGUUUAUUCAACUGCAUGAGGAAUUUAAAUUGGGGCUUUAUGGGGAGAAUUAAGUUCUAUUCUCUGCUCUUCUGCUGACUUGCUGUGUUACCUUGUGCCAGUCACUUACACUCAAUGUCUGUUUUGACCUUGUGAAAGGGGGAUAAUACCCACUUCACAGGGGUAUUGUGAGGUCAAAGUCACUUUGAGAUCCUUGAUCCUUGGAUAGAAAUGCAGAAUAUUGUUUACUGAAGCUCUCUAGGGGAUUCCAGUAACAUUUUGGCAUAAAUACACCUGAAGUGAGGCUAGUGUUCUCUGAUGGAAUUGGGGAAAUGUUUGUGAAAGAAACAGACAGGUAAAUACAGGGAAAGAAAUGGGUGUUUUCUCACGGAAGCCCAGCGUCUACUGAGAGAUUUGGAAGUGACACCAGUCUUUCCAUGGAGACAUAAAAGUUCACAUGUACCCCUCCAGCACCAGUAAGGCAAACCACAGAUGUUGUUUUAAAAAAUGAGCAAUCCUCCUAUACAAAGGAAUUGAGGACUCUGAGCAAAAAGCAGAGAUCUGGAAGCUAUGCAAGCUGUCAGGGCUUCUAUGCCCUCUGAAAUUCCUUGUCUAAAAUACACAAGAGAGCAGUAGAUACAACCUGUGCACGUCUGCGGAAGCACUCUAUGUAGAAGUCCAGUCUGUCAUUUUGACCGUCAGGAGGAGUCCACGCAGAAUUCUUCUUCUUGUAGUGUUGGUAGGAGGGUUCCUGUGGGUUCAGUGGAGUGUUGAAAAUAUUCCUUGAGUCGGAGACGACGAAAGUAGGCUUCCAGAUCACUGCAGAACUGUAACUCACCCAACAAUAUUGUUAAUCUAUCCAAUCACACACUCUUCUGCCGAGCUAUCUUGGGGACUCUUUUUCUGUCCCACCACCCCCAUGAACAUCCACAUUGGCCUGGAGCGGCGAACCGCGGCCUGUGGGAGCUGCGAUCGGCCAAACCUGUGGACGUGGCAGUCCCAGAGGAUGUUGAGGAUGCUUAGAGAAGUUCUACUGAAGGUGUUAGAAGAAGCCUGAUCUGUGUCCUGCGAUAUCAACUUCAUCUCCACUGAAGGAAGGAGGUCCCCAAAUACACCAAAAAGAUUGCAAGUAAAAUGAACUUUCACAGUAAAGUCUUUUAUGUGUUAUAACAGUUUGUAAAGUAAGCCCUGGUGUAUGCAAUGCUGCUGACUGUUAAUGCAACAUUGCAGUGCUGCUCCACUCUGAGAAGUGAUUCCUUGAUAAUUGCAUUGUGGGUUCUAUACUUAUUGACU
rnacentral:lncRNA from 1 species